UACGGGGGGGGCAAGCGUUGUUCGGAAUUACUGGGCGAAAGGGCUCGUCGGCGGCCAACUAAGUCGGACGUGAAAUCCCUCGGCUUAACCGGGGAACUGCGUCCGAUACUGGAUGGCUUGAGUAUGGGAGAGGGAUGCGGAAUUCCAGGUGUAGCGGUGAAAUGCGUAGAUAUCUGGAGGAACACCGGUGGCGAAGGCGGCAUCCUGGACCAUUACUGACGCUGAGGAGCGAAAGCCAGGGGAGCAAACGGG
rnacentral:rRNA from 1 species